GUCUUGCAUAUCUACACCCAAGCUUUUAAAACUAAACAAUUUAUGUAAAUCUUAUAAAGAUACUGUAUAAUACUAUGUAUGUUAGAUCCAUGUCUCUUUUCAAUUUGAGGAUUUUAUAUGGAAAGUCAUGGGAUACAUGUACUUUUGAAUAACCACCUUCCCAGAGCCAUACAGUUAUUUGACAAUAAUUUGGUAUUUCUGCCUUUUGUUAUUUAGGACCAACGAUGCUUAAAAAAGGUAUUUUUAGGGGCCAGCCCUGUGGCGCAGUGGUUAAGUUCACACGUUUCAGUUCAGUGGUCCAGGGUUUGCUGGUUCAGAUCCUGGGUGUGGACCUACACAAUGCUUGUCAAGCCAUGCUGUGGCAGGUGUCCCACAUGAAAUAGAGGAAGAUGGGCACAGAUGUUGGCUCAGGGCCAAUCUUCCUCAGCAAAAAGAGGAGGAUUGGCAGCAGAUGUUAGCUCAGGGCUAAUCUUCCUCAAAAAAAAGAAAGAAAAAAGGUAUUUUUAUUUAGGAAGUUUGUUAUCUAUUGGUGAUAAUUGUUAAUAAUACUUUGAACAUUUCUAUGUAGUGCUAUACUUUGCCAAUGCUGCCAUCUUCUGGACGCCAUUAAGCACUGUAACAAUCAGAGAAGCUGACAGUGCAUAGUGGUUUCCAAAAGUAAUGCGUAUUAGUGUUAAAAAAAGCUUUCAUUUUCUUUCUUUUUUCUUUUUUUAGUUUGAAAAAAGCCUGGAUAUAUAUAUUUUUUCGAUUUCCCUCAUAAAAUACUUGACUAUCUCCUUACUUUCCUAACCAUGUACUGCUGAAGUCAGAAUGGUAUAGGGUGUAAAAUGGAUAUGCUAAACGUCUUAAUUUUGCCCCUCUGGAUCUGUUAUCCACGCUUUCUACUCUGCUUUGUGUCCUGGGAGGCAGAGGCUGACCUAUAUGGACUAUAGCAACAAGAUUCCUUGACUUUCAACUUCUAAUUGGAUCUGGACAAUAAGAAGCAUUCAAAGGAAAUCAAAGGGGGAGAAGGGAGUAGAGCUGGGUCCCUCAUAUGAGAUCACAGGGCUCUGUCCCUUAACUGAAGGUCAUAUCUCCCAGCAAGGGGCCUUACCAAAAUAGGUCAGUCUGCCUUAGGGAAUUAGUAGUCACUUCCUCCUUGUAUUCUUCAGGGCUGUUCUGAAACCUAGACACUUCACAUCCCCUGUGGCUCCCUACAUUCUGCUCAUACCUUUGUAAAUGAUCCUUUCAUUAAAUAUUCCUUAAAUCACCCAGCUUGAGUAUAUUUCCUGUUGGGACACUGACCAAAACAGUGGGAAUAAUAAUAGCAGUUAACCCAGAGGUGUGUUAUAAGGGUUAAAUAAACUAAGACCUGGCUAGAGCUUAAAUAAUGGCUGAGAAAAGAGAUAAAGAUGAAGGCAGUGGGACAGAAAAUGAUAAUGAUGGAGGAAAAAGAUGCUGCAAUACUAAGAUAAUUGCUAUCCUUCAGUGGUUAGAAGCCCCCCAAAAUGGAAUACUUAUAUUGAAAUAUCUUUAUAGAAAAGAUUCAGAGAUAUACAAGAAAAAAGAUUUCCUGCUAUAAAGGUGUAGCUGAAUCGGCAGAUCAAAAGUUCACAAUGUACAAGAAAAACAGCUUUAGGAUGAUCAACAAUAAGACAUGAGAAAAAGAAAGAAUUCUUUAAGCAACCAGCUCCCCCUAAAAAAAAGUCCCCUAUGAGGAGGAAAAAUAAAAGAUUGGUUCAUACUAAUAUUUAAUUCCAGAAGACAUUAAGGUCUACAAAAUUCUAAGGGAAAGAUGACACAAGAUUAUAACCAAAUACAGCUUUCCUUAGUGUCAAGGAAUUCCUUGAUUAAAAGAUGUCUAUUUUUGGAAUAUUGUAUUUCACAAUAGGCAUUCCUAAGGGAGUCUUAAUUUUAUCUGUGGUCAUCAGUGUAUAUUGUACCAUGAUGGUAAAAGCUUAUCUAUUAAACAAAUUAUGAACAUGUUUUUAGAAAAUACCUGGUAAAAUGACACAAUGCUUGUAAUUUGUAAACUAAACCAUGUAUUUGAAGUCAUGCACCCCCUUUUUUCAAUCGUCAGAGACAUGUACCAUUUGUCAGGGACGUCAUCCUUGGUUGUGAUAAAAAGACUCAAAAGUUUACACGGUGUAUUUUUACCCUUUCUUGUUUAUGCUCAUAUAUCUCCAUUAUAUAAUAUGUUAAUAUGGGCUCAAAUAAAUAGGAUUCCAUACACAAAAUUAUAGCCAGCUGUUAUGGGCUGAAUUGUGCCCUCCCUCACUCAAAUUCAUGUGUUAAAGUCCUGGUCCCAGUACUUCAGAAUAUGACUGUGUUUGGUGAUGGGGUCUUUAUAGGGGUAAUUAAGUUAAAAUGAAGUUAUUAGGGUGCAUCCUAGUCCAAUAUGACUGUGUCCUUAUAAGAAGAGGGAAUUUGGACACUGAUCUGUACGGAGGGAAGAUGUGUGAAGAUAAAGGCCAUGAAGUAGGACUAGGUGUUCUGAAAAUCUGCCACCACCUGUUCAAGCAAAUAGUUUAUGCUCAGUACAUUUUUGAGACUGAUAUUAUAUAUACUGUGAUGGCCGUUGUGUCUGCUCAACACAAUAUUUGUGACGAGCAGCUCAGUUCCUUUGGUCAUGUGAGGCUGAUGAUUAGGCAUUUAAUCUUUACCAAGGCUCGGUAGAACUCCAGGACACAUUUCUUCAGAGAUGUUAGCUGCAGGAGGAAACAUGGCUCUUCCCCACUACUUUAGAUGGCUACACUGUAAUUCUCCUAUUGCCACUUUCCAGCGUUCGAUCUGAAUAAUACUCAAGCUGCUGCAAAAGCUGGGUAUCAUUGGCUCUGCUCAGCCAUAAGGCCUAAGUGGCAGAACAGCUUCCUUCAUUACAUCCAGGACCUGUUGCAGAGUUUUUUGUUGCUUGCGGGCCCCUUCAAACUGGCAGCACACUCAAAUAUGUAUUUAUCACCCUCAAAAUCAAGAGAGACCCAAAAAGUAUAUCCCUUUUCUCCUUGAGAAGUGCUUUGUUCAGCAACUUGUCCCUUAUUUUGGAGGAGCUGUCCUACAUGACCCAGACCACUCAAUCCCUAGAAACUUCUCUUAGGUGGCAGGACCGUGAUUUUAGUGGGGUUUAUCUCCCAUCCGAUGCCACCUACAUGUGUCACUCUGGUAAAUAGGAUGCUUAUUAUUUCUUGGGUAUCAGGUUGACUCAGCAUGAUGUCAUCCAUGUUGUAGACUGGCAAGAUGUUCUGUGGUAUUUCAAGAUAAUCGGAAUCUCUGUGAACCAGACCAGAGAUUGAUAUUUUCUGUAAAGAGCCAAAAUAGUGGAUAUUUUAGGCUUUGUGAGCCAUACGAUCUCUGUUGCAACUGUUCACCUCUGUGGUUGUAGCAUGAAAACAGCUGUAGGUGAUACAUAGAUACCACAUGAAUGUGAGUGUGUGUCAAUAACACUUUGUUAAUAAACGCUGAAAUUUGAAUUUCAUAUAAUUUUCAUGUGUCAUGAAAUAUUAUUCAUUUUUGGAUUUUUGUCAACCAUUUAAAAAUGUAAAAAUCAUUCUUAGCUUGUGGGCCAUACGAAAAUAAAUGGCGGGCUGGAUUUGGCCUAUAGGUUGCCACUUGCUGACAGCUGGAUUGAAUUAUGGCAGAGAGCAAGAAAAUUGCCAUAGACAACUGCGGCAAACCAUGAAAGCAUAUUGCUGACCCUACCAGGUGAAAGCAAACUGCUCGUGCUUACCUUUAUACUUUGUCAUACUGAAAUAAGCAAAGGAUGUGUCAAUAACUUCAUACUAGAUGGGAGGGGCUAUAUUAAUUCAUUCCAUGAAAGAAGCCAAAUCUGAAAUAGUAGCUGUGGUUGAAGUCACCACCUAAUUAAUUUUAUGAUAAUCCAUAGUCAUUCUCUAAGAUACUUCAGUCUUCUGAAUAUGCCAUAAAGGCAAGUUAAAUAGUAAUAUAAUAGGAGUCAUUAUCCUAGAACCUCUCAGAUUUUUGAUAGUAGCACAACUCUCUGACAUUCCCCCAGGAGUUUCAGAAUGUAAUUAAAAAACAGUUAGUUAGAAAUAUUUAUGUAUAGCAUAAUAAUAAUUAAAAAAUAUAUGUUUAUAUGUGUAUAAAAUAUAUACAAAUAUGUGUUACAAUGUUGAAUUGGUUAUUACCUGGUUGUGUGAUUAUGGGUAAUUUUUUUUUCUUAAAGAUUGGCACCUGGGCUAACAACUGUUACCAAUCUUCCUUUUUCUUUUUCAAAGAUUGGCACCUGGGCUAACAACUGUUGCCAAUCUUUUUUUUUUUUCCCCUGCUUUAUCUCCCCAAACCCCGCCUGUACACAGUUGUAUAUCUUAGUUGCACAUCCUUCUAGUUGUGGGAUGUGGGACACCACCUCAACGUGGCCUGAUGAGUGGUGCCAUGUCUGCACCCAGGAUCCGAACCCUGGGCCGCCGCAGCGGAGCGCAUGAACUUAACCACUCGGCCACGGAGCUAGCCCCUGGGUAAUUUUUUUACUUUUGUGCUUUUUAAUAUUUUCCAUUACUUAUAGUAAAAAUGUAUUCCCUUACAGUCAGAAAAGACUCUAAUUUAUUUUUGUAAGAAUCACUGUUAAAGUCAAUACUAAAUUUAUCUGGAUGAGGUAUAUGAAAUAAUCCUGAGAAUAGUUGAUACCAGCGCUAACCUCAGCAGAUGUAAAUAUUUGAGUCAUAAUCACUGUACCAAUUUCAAUUAGCUCAUUAUUGUUAUUUUAUGAUUUAAUUAAAUGUUUGAAGUAACAUACAUCCAGUCUUUAUUAUUAUGCAUAUAUUUUCAAAGAGAAUUCUAAAAGCUCUGGCUUCCAAGUGAAAGAGUAUUAAUGAAUGGAGCCUAUUUAUAAAUGCUUCUUAAACUAUGUUAAUGAUGUGUGAAAUAUGGGGCACUAAACUAACUAGGCAAUUCAGUGAUGCCGUCGUCAGCCACGGUGCUGCACGUGAAGACGGUUUGUCCCUGUCGUGCUGUGGUGAGGCAGAGGGUGUGUGAAUGCUCGGUCACCACUGCACACCUAGACUCCUAGUGCCCCUCUUAGCACUGCCACUAUUAAUUAGAGAACGAGGAAAAAAGAUUAUGACUGUUUGUUUGUCUUCUUGAUAUUUUCCUUGAGUUUUCUCUAUCUUCUGAGGCUUUAAAAUUCUAGGCUUGGAAAUCAUAGCUCAUUCCUGGGGUCCUAGUGAUUUUACUGCCACUCAGCAUAAUGAAGAGAAAGACUUUCAACAAGUGCUUUCUUCAAGAGGGCCUUUCUAGGCUUUUCUCACCUGGGUGUGUUGACUGGUGCUCAUAGUGAGGAUGAAAGCAAGGUAUUGUCGGAGAAGGUAAGUUCAGGGAAAGGCUUUGACCUCCUGAAAAUGAGAGGGUCUUAGACACUUAGACAAGUUAUCUGAUGUGAGAAAACCCUUCCAUAGCCCUUAUGUUUGGGGGAGAAAGUGUGUAGAAACAGCAAGGGAGCACUCGGCUGGCAGUUUCAGUUUUUCAAUGUUCAGAAGGUGUGAUGAGUUAUAUGCUCUCUAGGGCCUUGGAGCGCCUCUUCCUCUCUGGCGCCCUGGCUUACGUCUCUCUAACACUAAGCACGCUGGGUUCUAAUUACUGACAUCCUGGGUGGCACUUGUGCCUCGCCCUGCCUGCCUGCUCACCAAACUGUGAGCUGCUUGAGGUCAGGACCAUGUCAUAUUCUACUUUGUAUCCCCAGCAUCCAGUAACUGGCAUGCGCAGGGCACGUGAAAACACAACCUGCAUGAAUGAACUAUUGGGAAAGACUGGUCUGCGGGGACUCUAGCUGUAGGCUCAUCUUCCUCAGUAGUGGGUGUAAGGGGGAUAAGAGGAAGACAGGAAGCAAAUAUGUUUUGAGCUCCUACAUUUAGCCAUUGCAUAUUUUUACUUAAUGCCUUUAAGAUGUGACAUAGGUAUAAUUAUGGCAAUUUUACAGCACGUAGAGUGUGUAAUUUGCCUCAACAAGUGACCAACUCUGAAUAUGAACCCCAGGUUUCUCUCAACUUUAUAACCCAGGUUUCUUUCACUCUAAUAUGCCUUUAGUGACAGUAAUUGGUAGCAUGGUCUCUAUAGAAUAAGAUUAUUGCUACAGACUUAGGAAAAUAGACCCUAGGAGUAUUUGGAGUGGAAGGAGCUUUUUUGAGAUCCUAGCUGUGCAAAGCUUACUUCAGCAGAGUCCUUAUUUCUAGUAUUCCUGCAAACGGCUUCUGAAAGAGGGUUGGUAUAGGGGAGGGAGCGGGUGGCAGGAUAUGUGUAUUGUACCAUUAAGGCCUGGAAAAAUUUGUUCCUUUCAUCUUUCCCCAGUAUGCCUCCUCCUCCAUGAUUCCCCCCUGAUUCCACCUUUCCAUUCUUGUAGUACUCAGUUUGUACCACUCACAAAGCAUUGUCAUACUGCCUUCUAUUGUAAAUGUUUAUGUAUCUGACUUGACUCAAUGUUUAUGUAUCUGACUUGACUCUGGUUCUGUAUUUUCGGUACUUUUGUCUCUGGUUCUAACACAGUGUAGCAAGUAGAUGGUCAAUAAAUGCUUGCCUUUCUCUUUCAAAUUUAUGCUGAAAUCUUUUUAAACUAUUAAGGUAUUUCCCUUUCCUCCAAAUAGAGAGGAACUGCAUGAAGGCGAUCUCGAAGGAUCCACUGAUAUUGUGUGGGAACACAGUGGCCGUGGUGAUGUGUUGCCUAGAUCCUGCUUCAGUGAAGGACUGGUUGUCCCAGCUGCUGGGAGUGGUGUCAGCGGACGGCUUCGGCUGGCACUGUCUUCAGGGAUGGCUUCAGCUGUAAAGAGCUGCCUCAGCCAAGGUCACGCCUGUCCCGGGGCAGCCGACCUCCAGUGACUGGUCGAGGUUGGGGUAUAAAGGCCUGGCCUUUUUAAUCCAAUGUGGGACAGCUCUGAUGGGCCAUUUUCACUUCCAUUCAAGAAACUGUGCUGGGAUUUUUAAUUUAAUUUUUCUGUCUUUUUAAAGUGGAUGCAAUUCAUUAAAAAUUUAUGAAUAAUUAUUACUGAGCCAUAAAGUAUUUCUGAUCCAUUACCUCACUUGAAUAGAAGUGGGUUAAGAAUCAUUUUCUUUAGGAAACCCCAUUUAGAUAAUGUUUCCUUUUUUUUCUGCCCCCUCCCUAUGUGAUGUCAAAAGUUUGUAUAUUACAAAAGUUUAUUGAUCAGGAUGCUAAGCACUUGACGCUUCUAUUUUUUAAAAAUUGGAUUCAUAUAAUAUGUACUGAGGGUACAUGAUAGAAUAGAAAGCAUGUGAGCAUUAGAGUCAGACUGAGAAUUAAUGCCCCAGCAAAUAUAUGUAAAACACUUAGUACACGGCGAAUACUUAGUGAUAGUUUAAUUUUCUUUUUUAUAUUGUGUGUUACUAAUUCUGCUGGCACCUUCACAAUGUUAUCUCAUCUCCUUGCAUCCAUUCUUCCCAGCAACAUCUCGUCGUCUCCCCAACCAUUAAUUCCAAACUAUAGUCAAAAUGAUCUUUAAAAAAUGAAAAUCUGAUUGGUCUCUUCUCUGCUUAAAAUCCUAAGACUUCUUAUUGCUCUUAAGAUAUAGACCAAAAUUCUUCCAUCGGCCUUUAAGAACCUGAAUGUUCUGGCCCUGUUCACCUCUCUGGGUUCAUCUCUUAUAAGCCUGCUUUCCUUCAUUCUCUCCACUACAGCCCCUUUCACCUUCUUCUAGUUCCUCAUGUGUUUGUCGUGUCUCUGCUGUUCCCACCGCCUGGAAUGUUCCAUUCCUGCCCAUCUCUUCCCCUUGGUUAGUUAGCUCUUUCUCAUCCUUUAGAUCUCAGCCCAGGAGAGUCUUCUCUGACCUGCCACCCCUCCCCUCAGUUUAAAUCAUUGGUAUAUACUCCUGUACGACUAUGUUCCCUCACUUCGGGGCACUUAUCUAGAUUUGUAACUCAGCAUCAGUGUCAUCAAUUAAUUGGUUUCUGUCUUUCCCACAGGACUGAGUUCCCUGAAAGCAGGAAGCUUGUUACUGAAUUCUUAUAGCCUAGUUCAGUGAUUAGAUCGUAGUAGGUAGCCAGUAAAUAUUACACGGUUUAAUCAGCAAAAAACAGAGCAAGGUGUGUGAAUGUGGAUGUAUAUUGUUUCUAUUAUUAUUAUUUUUUAAUAAAGGAGGAAACUGAAGCUCAUUUAAACCCAGUCAUACCACUUGUAGGUCCAGAGUACCUUACAAUUUUUAAAAAGCACAUUUGUUUUUAUGAAUAUUUAAGUACAUUUCCUUUUCUCUUUGUAUUAUCCUUGUAUUAAAACAUUCUGAUUGUUUUUGGGGCCGGCCGGUGGUGCAGCAGUUAAGUUGCUGCUCUCCACUUCGGAUGCCUGGCAUGGACCUAGCACUGCUGUCAAGCCAUGCUCUGGCAGGUGUCCCACAUAUAAAGUAGAGGGAGAUGGGCGCAGAUGUUAGCUCAGAGCCAAUCUUCCUCAAAAAAAAAAAGUGUAAAAAAAUAUAUAUUCUUAUUGUUUUCGAUCUGUCUCACUUUAUUCUCAAUUACUUGGAACUGAUAAGACUCUAAUAUUCCUCUAAAAUUCACUUAUGCCUUCUGCCUUGUGAAUGACAAAGCACUGCAAUGACCCUGAAAUAUAAUAUAAUAAUGAAAGUCUAGCCUGUUGAGUGUUGCCCUGGGAAUGUAAACUGAUCCCAAAUUGAUACUCAAGUCAAUUCAUCAAGCAUUUGAACUACACCAGAUAGUGCAUGCUAACAGUGUGAUUUAUGGCAGGAGCCUUGAUCCACGCUGAAUCAGUUUGACUUCUGGAGGGACCGGAGACUGAAUAAAGGCAGUCACGUGGGUGCUCUAUGCUGCUGUGACCAAUCUCUAAUAGAAACCAUGGACGCCAAGGCUGAGGAGAAGACAACCACACCCUCACUUCUGGAGGUAGAUCGUCAUUAGUUUAAGCCAAUCAACAGAUGACAUUCCUCUGGCUACAAUUGGUCCAGGGACUUAAAAAGGAAGCCUAUACUCCCAAUUGCCCUUGGCAGUCAUCUUUCAACUACAAGGGGAACCAGCCAUAGGAUGAACCCUAUGCCAAGAGGAACAGACACCUGAGACCUUGAUUAUGUCGUUGAGCUCCACCUGGAGCCUACAUUAGGAGGACUUCCUGUUAUAUAGAGUGUUAUGGACUGAACUGUGUUCACUCCAAAUUUGUAGGUUGAAGUCCUGAUCCCUAGUACUUUAGAAUGUCACUGUAUUUGGAGAUAAUGAAGGUUAAAUGAAGUCCUAAGGGUGGGCCCUAAUCCAAUAUGACUUCUGUCCUUGUAAGAAGAAAGAGAGACACUAGGGAUACAUGAGCACAGAUGAAAGGCCACGUGAGGACGCAGCAAGAAGAUGACCAUCUGCAAGCCCAGGAGAGAGGCCUCAGGAGAAACCAGCCCUGCUGACACCUUGAUCUUGGACUUCCAGCCUCCAGAGCUGAGUUGAUUCUAAGAGUAAUCCCCGAUAAAGCUCCCGCAGGCAAAUCUCUGCCUCAGAAUUUGGUUCAUGGUGAAUUCAUCCCGCAACAACUGGUGCCUGAGUGUCUGAGAUAGCAGACUCUAAGAGGGGACUUUGGAAAUGGAUCACUCAUGGGCCAAGUAUCAAUGGGAGCCCCGUCCAUGUUGGUAGAAAUAGCAAAUAGUCCAUGGCAUGCUGUAGCAGGACAAUGUUUAAAACUUUCACCAAUGGUGAACUUGGAUCUUAUAUCAGCGGAAGGAAUGCACUGAUGGAUUCAAAGUAACACUCAUUUGAGAAUGACAGAGGAAAUAAUAAAUACAAGGACAAUGAAAUUGGUUGGUUAUUUCUGAGGGCCAUGGAAUCUCUGAAGAAAGAUAAUGAAAGGGUGAUUAGUUAUCAAUUAAAGGCUAAGUACGAAAGCCAGAGGGCCUCCUUGGUAGCAUAAAAGAGACUCAUCUUCUGCAGCUGUAGGUCCCCAAAAAGCUGAGGGUGACAAGAGUAGCAGAGCUCCAGAGAGAAUUAAAUUCUCAACCACAGCAAGUCUGCUCUGCUCAAGUCAGGGCUCUGACUGGGGAGGAGCAGGCUCCUGAGAUAGGGGAUGGAGACGUCUGGCUUGAUGCACUUGACAGUAUUAAAUCCUCAGAUUCCUCUCCAGACGUGGCUCACUCUGUUAAAGGCUAAUUCUCUCCCUUCAGGGAAGUAGACAGUUCUCUCCCUAAAUAAGCAAGUAGACAAUGACUGUUGAUGUCACCCAGGCUCUGUCAUCAGUCACCCCAGUGCUGGGUACUGCGUACAGGAACCGGGUAGACAUGGUAGCAAGGACAGAG
ensembl:lncRNA